rnacentral:lncRNA from 1 species
GAGCCAUUUUGGGAGUGCACGGCGGUUCUGCGCGGGGCCUAUUUGGCUGUGACGCCUAGCCCAGGUUUCUACCGCCCUAUGCCUUAGGGCUCAUCUAAAACCUAAGAUGGCGGUAUUUGCAUAGGGUGUAAGCGCUGCAGGCAUACUUUAUGUGAAAAGACGGCCAAAGGACGAGUCUCCUAAGGAAUGUCCAGAAACGCGGAUAUUUGUGUUGUGAUUUUUAAAAACUUUAAACGGUGCAGUCAAAGCCCCUCUUCAUCACAUGCCACAAGUAAGUCCUAUUCUGAAGUUGUAUGUCCUUACCGUGGGCUUUUUAAAAUACUUUCACUGCUUAGUUAUAUAGUAAUAGUUUUUCCAUGCUACUAAGCUUUAUUAAAAUCCUAUCAUAUUUUAUGUAUCCAUGACUUGGUUUUUUCACUCACCAUUAUUUUUGAGGUACAGGAUAUUCAGUAACUAUGGAGCGGUGUAGCCAUAGUAGCUAUUUACAAUGUCUUUUCUGGGAUUCAUCUAUAUUGAUAAGUAUAUUAGUCUAGCCAAUUCAUUUCAAUUACUGUAUCAUAGUGCACUUGGUGAAAAUACAGUGGGUCUGUUAUCCCACUGAUAGAUGUUUAGGUUGUUUCCAGUUAUUUACUAUGAAAUACCAGGCUAUAGUAAAAUCUUUAGAGGACUUCUUAUGCACAGAUGAGAAUUUCUGUAGUGUUUUUGUUAAAGUGAAAUUAUGUAGUAUGUAAAGUGAAAUAUGUGUUACUCUUCAGAGUGAUUGUCCCAAUUUACAUUCUCACCAAAGAAUAUGAAAAUAUUGGUUUCUCAGUAACAUUUUCUUUCCUUUCCAUAUCCCUUUUCCCCUCUGCUUUUUCUUUGCAAACUUUGUUAUUAUUUUUAGAAUUUGCCAGUAUGAUUGAUAUGAAAUUAUAUCUUGUGCUUUAAUUUGCCUUUCACUAAUUAUUAGUGAUGUUGAAGAUCUUUUCAUAUGCUUAUUAAUAAUUCUGUUUACCUUUUCUGAAUGUUUC